AUUGAGACCUGUCUCAGAUACUUUUUGGUUUACAGAUUGGUGACCAACAGAAAUGAAGGUGACCCUGACCUUUGACAAAUCUCUGAUCAGUGAUCUUAUCUAUAUCAGCUUCAGCUAUAUUUGUUGCUUAAACCAAUAGGACAAUUUGCUGAGGCCUGGGAACUCCCUUCUCCAGUGAAUCCCUGAUCACGCAAAAUUUGGUUAACAGCUAAGGUUUAUUUUGCUGCACAGCUCCUUUUCUGGAGUUUUACUCGCAUCCGAUGAGAAAGGUGUGUGUACCUGCUUUCAUGACGAUAGAGAGCAGACAACUUCUUUCUGGAGUUUCAGCUUGCUUCCAACAGUGAAGUCUUCUUCCCCUUUGGUUUGACCAAUGCUACCUGAUUUGGCAAAAUCUGAAGGAAACUUCUAAAUUAUGGGAAACAAGACCUCUGGAUUGGCUAAAUUCCUGAAGCUGAAAGAAAAGGAAGAAGAAAAACAAAAAGGCCAACAAAAGCAAAAAAAGAGUAAUUUUUGACCCCCUGAGGGGCUUUAUUUACCUAACAAGUCUACCUUUUGCUAGCCAAGCCAAACUGAAAAAGCAAUGGCAGCCAUCUAACCCAUGCUGUAGUUCAGGAGCUACAAUUCUGCCCUUUUUUCACCAUGACAGCCUGAGUUUGUUUCCUAAUCCAGUCAUUUUCCGGUUUGAUAUUUGUGUUACUUUUGAAAUAUCAGCAGUUUGUCCCAACUAAAAUAUGUUAAUAAGAAAUUUUAAAGGAUUUUUUAAGAGUUCCAGUGGUUAAAAGUCAGCUCAGUUUAAAGCAAAUACCCAAGAUGUAUAUACAUUUAAAAGACCUUUGUCCCCUUUUUUCUCUCCUAGGAUCUUGUUUUUUGAGAAAAAGUUUUUUUUUCCUCUUUCUUCUCAGUUGUCUGAAUUCUGUUUUUUUCCAUUUGCUUCUGACUGUCUCUCCCUCCUCUUGCCACACUCCGCUACAUAAAGGACCUAACAUAAUUUCUAACAGCCUGGGAUUCCUUAAAGAAAUCAGAGAAGCCAUCAGACUCCUUUUUGGGAGAAACCUCUGUUUUUCCUUAUGGACUCCCCAAGAGUAUAAACAAACAAAUUCCUCUCAGAUCUUAAACCACUUGCUUUUGUAUUGUGUUACCUGUUUUUUUUUUUUCUUUUUUGACUGAAAUAGUUAUUGCUAGGGGGGCUACUCUUGUAUGUUUAAGAUGAUAAAGGAUAUGGUUUAAACACUUAGAGAAAUGUUGAUAAAGAGUCAAACUCUAAAAUAUUUGAAGAGAUUUAUUCUGAGCCAAACAUGAAUGACCAAUUGCCUGUGAAACAUCCUCAGGAGAUUCUGAGAACAUGUGCCCAUGGUAGUCAGGCUACAGCUUGGUUUUAUACAUUUUAGGGAGACACAAGACAUCAAUCAAUACAUGUAAGAUGUACAUUGAUUCAGUCUGGAAAGUUGGAACAACUCAAAGUGGGGGCUUCCAGGUCAUAGGUGGAUUCAAAGAUUUUCUUAUUGGCAAUUGAUUGACACAAUUUACCUAAAGUCCUCGGACCAAUACAAGGAAAUGUCUGUGUUAAGAUAAGGGGUUGUGGAGACCAAGGCUCUUAUAAGUAAAUGAAGCACCCAGGUAGCAGACUUUAGAGAGAGUAUAUUAUACAUAUUUCUUAUCAGACUUAUAAAGUGCCAGACUCUUAAUUAAUUCUCUCCUGGAUCAGGAAAAAGACCUGGAAAUGGAAAGGAAUUCUCUACAGAAUGUAGAUUUUCUCUAUAAGAGACAGCCUUGUAAGGCCAUUUCAAAAUAUGCCAAAGAAAUAUAUUUUGGGGUAAAAUAGUUUAAUUUAUUUCAGGGUCUGCUGUCUGUCACGUUGGUACAAAGAUUCUGUUUUGUCAGUCUUAAGGUUUCUGUUUUAACAUUAAUGCUGGUCAGCUGUGCCUGAAUUCCAAAAGGAGGAAGGUAAUAAGGAAGCAUAUCCAACCACCCAUUCCCAUCAUGACCUGAACUAGUGUUUACUUUAUAAUGUGCUUGGCUGAGAGGAGUCCAUUUAGUUGUUUGGGGAGGCUUAGAAUUUUCUUUUGUGUGUUUUACAGAAAUGUCUUUGUAACAAAAUGCACUGUAAAAUCAUUUCAUGACCUAGUUUCAUGAUAUCUCUCUUUUUGGAGACCCAGGAUUCAGUGUGGGCUCUACCUAGAGCUCAGAGGUGCAGUUAAAAGAUAAAGACUAAAUUUUAAACUACCUAUCUAAAUAAAAUUGGUUUCCUUAUAAAAUCCUAUGGUUGAUUUAUAUAAUUUUAUGUUUGACUUGGCAUCCAUUUUUAAUUUCCCUCUAGCACAGUGGGCUUUCUUCCUCUCUCUCUCUCUCUCUCUCUCUCUCUCUAUAUAUAUAUAUAUAUAUAUAUCUGUCUCUCUCUCUCCCCACUUGGAAAUGUAAAUUUUACUGUCUGAUUUUCACCUGAGUUGUUCCUUUAGUAUGCAAAUUUAGGGCUAACUGGCUGACAAGUUGCCUUGGGUAACGGUUAUCAAGAAAUUGGAAGUCAAAAAUAGGAAGAAAAAGAGGUUUUAUGAAUUUAUAAGAUCUACUCUGUCUGCAUGUCUAAUAUGUCUAUGUAUUUAUGUAUUGUGUGUAUAAUGUUUCACUUCCAAAUAUACAUAAAAGAGCUUCAUUAGAAAAAUAAACAUUUAAGCCCAAAUGCUUUUUCAAGUUCACGUGACUCAAAUAAAUGCUUAAUAAGUAAACUGGUUUUAAAAUUAUUGGUAAAAUAAAAUGAGAAAUGUCUUCAGUAUUGUCAACAUACAUUAUUGUUUAGAUUUAUUGGUCAAGCAGCUCAAUACUUAUCUCUGACAGAUAUUAUAAAGUGUCAAAAUUUGGCAUGAGAAUUAUAAAGCUUGCAGCCCGAAAGAGAAUUAAUUUGUGUUUUUUUUUUUUUUUUUAGAAAUAAGGCAUUUAAUAGUUUUGUUUAAUGAAAACACCUAAAUCCUGAAUUAUUGGCCAAAAAGCCCAAUAUUUAUUAAACCUUAAGAUUUUUACUUCAAUAAACACCUGAAAUUCACAGGUUGUAAAAUUGGUUAAGAGAAAAAUAAUGUUAAGU
rnacentral:lncRNA from 10 species